AGUCGAGCGGUAGAGAGAAGCUUGCUUCUCUUGAGAGCGGCGGACGGGUGAGUAAUGCCUAGGAAUCUGCCUGGUAGUGGGGGAUAACGUUCGGAAACGGACGCUAAUACCGCAUACGUCCUACGGGAGAAAGCAGGGGACCUUCGGGCCUUGCGCUAUCAGAUGAGCCUAGGUCGGAUUAGCUAGUUGGUGAGGUAAUGGCUCACCAAGGCGACGAUCCGUAACUGGUCUGAGAGGAUGAUCAGUCACACUGGAACUGAGACACGGUCCAGACUCCUACGGGAGGCAGCAGUGGGGAAUAUUGGACAAUGGGCGAAAGCCUGAUCCAGCCAUGCCGCGUGUGUGAAGAAGGUCUUCGGAUUGUAAAGCACUUUAAGUUGGGAGGAAGGGCAGUUACCUAAUACGUGAUUGUUUUGACGUUACCGACAGAAUAAGCACCGGCUAACUCUGUGCC
rnacentral:rRNA from 1 species